CCGGUUGAUCCUGCCAGAGGUUACUGCUAUCGAGGUUCGACUAAGCCAUGCGAGUCGAAUGUAGCAAUACAUGGCGAACUGCUCAGUAACACGUGGACAACCUGCCCUUAGGUUGGGUAUAAACCCGGGAAACUGGGUAUAAUACCCGAUAGGUCUCGAUUGCUGGAAUGCAUCGAGAUUUAAAGCUCCGGCGCCUAAGGAUGGGUCUGCGGCCUAUCAGGUAGUAGUGGGUGUAGCGUACCUACUAGCCUACGACGGGUACGGGUUGUGAGAGCAAGAGCCCGGAGAUGGAUUCUGAGACACGAAUCCAGGCCCUACGGGGUGCAGCAGGCGCGAAAACUUUACAAUGCUGGCAACAGCGAUAAGGGAACCUCGAGUGCCAGGUUACAAAUCUGGCUGUCGAGAUGCCUAAAAAGCAUUUCAUAGCAAGGGCCGGGCAAGACCGGUGCCAGCAGCCGCGGUAAUU
rnacentral:rRNA from 1 species